GGGCCCAUAGCUCAUUUGGUAGAGCGCUUCCAUGGCAUGGAAGAGGUGACCGGUUCGAGCCCGGUUGGGUCCACCA
rnacentral:tRNA from 6 species